GUUUCAGCAGCCGCGGUAACACCGGCAGCUCAAGUGGUGGCCGUUUUUAUUGGGCCUAAAGCGUUCGUAGCCGGCCUGAUAAGUCUCUGGUGAAAUCCCAUAGCUUAACUGUGGGAAUUGCUGGAGAUACUAUUAGGCUUGAGAUCGGGAGAGGUUAGGGGUACUCCCAGGGUAGGGGUGAAAUCCUAUAAUCCUGGGAGGACCACCUGUGGCGAAGGCGCCUAACUGGAACGAAUCUGACGGUGAGUAACGAAAGCCAGGGGCGCGAACCGGAUUAGAUACCCUCGUAGUCC
rnacentral:rRNA from 1 species